rnacentral:rRNA from 1 species
GACGUAGGGCGCGAGCGUUGUCCGGAUUUAUUGGGCGUAAAGAGCUCGUAGGCGGCUUGUCGCGUCGACUGUGAAAACCCCGCGGCUCAACUGCGGGCCUGCAGCCGAUACGGGCAGGCUAGAGUUCGGUAGGGGAGACGUGGAAUUCCUGGUGUAGCGGUGGAAUGCGUGAGAGAGUCCGGAGGAAGACCGGUGGCGAAGGCGGUCUGCUGGGCAGUUUCUGGACACUGAGGCGCGACAGCGUGGGGAG